rnacentral:lncRNA from 1 species
UGCUCCAGGCUGGAAGACCGGCCCGUUUCUCCCCAGGUGGCCCAGCAUGCCCAAGACGGCAGCGUCCCGUCCCUGACAAGCGCCCACCGUCCCGUCUGCAAGGGGGCCGAGCCCAGGGCUCCGGAGUCUUGCCUCUCCUCUUCACCCACCGCGGACAUCAAGCCAGGAGAACGGUUGCCAGCAGGACAUCAGGGAGAGGUUCACCUGCCCUCCACGGAGGUCCCCAGCCAGGCCCCAGGCAGUGGGGAGACCACCAGGGACUUUACAUCAGCCUUCACCUGCAAGCCCCGGACCCCCAGCACCCCGGCGAUCCUGGACCCGAACCCACCCAAGGCCAAGGCAUCCACUCUGGCCCCUCAGUUCUCUACAUGCGGCCCCCAGCAGGCCAGCCGUCCCGGCUCCAUGUCGUCUUCCACGAGGGGCCCACAGAGUAAGUCAGACGGGAGGGCAGGGCACUGUGCUUCUCUGUGCCCCAAAGGCUGCAGGGAAAGCCACCUCCUCUCCCUGUGGGACCAGGGCCGCAGCUGGUGUCUUCCUCUGCCCUAGAGACCAGUUCUUCACUCAUCUUUCUAUUUAUGCAAUUGCCACUGGCCUCGGGGGCUCACACAUAAGCUGGCAGACGGAGACCGUCCGGGCAGUGCCACCCAGAGUUAAGAUCCCCACACCUCUGUGGGACUUGUGUGGUCGGCACUGAGACCUGGACCUGCCUUCUUUUUUUUUCUUUUUUCAAGAUUUUAUUUAUUUGACAGAGAGAGACAGAGCAAGAGAGGGA